AGAGUUUGAUCAUGGCUCAGGACGAACGCUGGCGGCGUGCCUAAUACAUGCAAGUCGAGCGAGCUUGCCUAGAUGAUUUUGGUGCUUGCACUAAAUGAAACUAGAUACAAGCGAGCGGCGGACGGGUGAGUAACACGUGGGUAACCUGCCCAAGAGACUGGGAUAACACCUGGAAACAGAUGCUAAUACCGGAUAACAACACUAGACGCAUGUCUAGAGUUUGAAAGAUGGUUCUGCUAUCACUCUUGGAUGGACCUGCGGUGCAUUAGCUAGUUGGUAAGGUAACGGCUUACCAAGGCAAUGAUGCAUAGCCGAGUUGAGAGACUGAUCGGCCACAUUGGGACUGAGACACGGCCCAAACUCCUACGGGAGGCAGCAGUAGGGAAUCUUCCACAAUGGACGAAAGUCUGAUGGAGCAACGCCGCGUGAGUGAAGAAGGGUUUCGGCUCGUAAAGCUCUGUUGGUAGUGAAGAAAGAUAGAGGUAGUAACUGGCCUUUAUUUGACGGUAAUUACUUAGAAAGUCACGGCUAACUACGUGCCAGCAGCCGCGGUAAUACGUAGGUGGCAAGCGUUGUCCGGAUUUAUUGGGCGUAAAGCGAGUGCAGGCGGUUCAAUAAGUCUGAUGUGAAAGCCUUCGGCUCAACCGGAGAAUUGCAUCAGAAACUGUUGAACUUGAGUGCAGAAGAGGAGAGUGGAACUCCAUGUGUAGCGGUGGAAUGCGUAGAUAUAUGGAAGAACACCAGUGGCGAAGGCGGCUCUCUGGUCUGCAACUGACGCUGAGGCUCGAAAGCAUGGGUAGCGAACAGGAUUAGAUACCCUGGUAGUCCAUGCCGUGAACGAUGAGUGCUAAGUGUUGGGAGGUUUCCGCCUCUCAGUGCUGCAGCU
rnacentral:rRNA from 1 species